rnacentral:rRNA from 1 species
UACGUCCACACCUUUUAGGUGUGGAUCAGUUGACUGUCAUACUUCCAAGAAAAGCUCGAACUACUGUAAAGCAUCACGUACCUGUACCGUAAACCGACACAGGUGGGUUGGUAGAGUAUACCAAGGGGCGCGAGAUAACUCUCUCUAAGGAACUCGGCAAAAUGACCCCGUAACUUCGGGAGAAGGGGUGCCAAGUAACUCAAAUUGCUUGGUCGCAGUGACCAGGCCCUGGCGACUGUUUAUCAAAAACACAGGUCUCCGCAAAGUCGUAAGACAACAUAUGGGGGCUGACGCCUGCCCAGUGCCGGAAGGUUAAAGAAGUUGGUUAUUCACUCGUGGAGAAGCUGACGACUGAAGCCCCGGUGAACGGCGGCCGUAACAAUAACGGUCCUAAGGUAGCGAAAUUCCUUGUCGGGUAAGUUCCGACCCGCACGAAAGGCGUAACGAUCAGGGCACUGUCUCGGAGAGAGACUCGGUGAAAUAGACAUGUCUGUGAAGAUGCGGACUACCUGCACCUGGACAGAAAGACCCUAUGAAGCUUGACUGUAGCCUGGAAUUGGGUUCGGGCUCUUCUUGCGCAGCCUAGGUGGGAGGCGUUGAAGGCUUUCUUUUGGGGAAGCUGGAGCCAUCAGUGAGAGACCACUCUGGGGGAGCUAGAAUUCUAAUGGCGUUCCUUGAAGCAGGACGCUUGACAGUUUCAGGUGGGCAGUUUGACUGGGGCGGUCACCUCCUAAAAGGUAACGGAGGUGUGCAAAGGUUCCCUCAGGCUGGACGGAAAUCAGCCGUAGAGUGUAAAGGCAGAAGGGAGCUUGACUGCAAGACCUACAAGUCGAGCAGGGGCGAAAGCCGGCCUUAGUGAUCCGACGGUUCCAUGUGGAAGGGCCGUCGCUCAACGGAUAAAAGUUACUCUAGGAUAACAGGCUGAUCUUCCCCAAGAGUUCACAUCGACGGGAAGGUUUGGCACCUCGAUGUCGGCUCAUCGCAACCUGGGGCGGUAGUACGACCCAAGGGUUGGGCUGUUCGCCCAUGAAAGCGGUACGUGAGCUGGGUUCAGAACGUCGUGAGACAGUUCGGUCCAUAUCCGGUGUAGGCGUUAGAGCAUUGAGAGGAGUCUUCCAUAGUACGAGAGGACCUGGAAGAACACACCUCUGGUAUACCAGUUAUCAUGCCAAUGGUAGACGCUGGGUAGCCAUGUGUGGAGUGGAUAACCGCUGAAAGCAUCUAAGUGGGAAGCCCACCUCAAGAUGAGUGCUCUCCAUUAGGUCACAGGAAGACAACCUGUUUGAUAGGCAGAAGGUGUAAGGCUAGUAAUAGUUUCAGCUGAUCAGUACUAAUAGACC